CUUGCUCACCUUGGCAGGAAGGGUGAUCAAACUCUUUGUUUUCACUCUUUUCCACAAUGUGAACCUCCACAAAGAAGAUCUAAACUGGAUGCCCAAAGUUCAAUCUAUGGCUGUAAGGAAAAACGCACGAAUCUAACCAUUGAAAAGUUUAUGUAUUUAUACGCAGAGCUUGAUUGACUCCGAGAUAAUUCUGCACCUUCCGAGGCCAAAGAAAGAAUUUAGACAUAAUGAUCAGCACCGUCAUUGUCAAGAUAAUCAGUUGUCAAACUUUUGUGCAGCGGAGGAACCUGACUCAUAGAAUUACUUUGGAGGCUUAGAGCAAUGGAGGAGCCCUGCUGGAUCAGACUAAAGGUCCAUUGAGGGAAGAAGCAGAACUCUUUUUCACCCAAAGGCCGCAGACCCUUCCAUUAGGGGGUCGCCAAAGCUCAACAAUUUUGCGAAACAAAAAAAGGUCAACAACUUUGCCAGGAUGUUAACUUUUUGAAAUAUGGCAACCCUAUGUUCCAUAGGCCGGUAGUGGGUACAACCAAAAACAAUAGCAG